CUUCAAUUAGAAACCGUUAACUUUCUCGUAUUCAAUUUGAAAUUCCUUCCCACCCUUUGCCUCCGGGUACCGAUUCUAAGGUUUCAAUAUUUCUCUCGUCUCUCUAAAGUCCAAACGUAAGUAAUCCAUCCAUUCAUGUCACAGAAACAACAUAUCAAUUUACAGUAGAAAAAGGUACCUAAAUGGAGUUUUAGGUCAAUCUUGUAAAUGGCGAAACGAAAAGCUAGAAGGGUUGCUGAACAAUCAUCGCCUGUAAACGUUGAAAAUGAUGUCAACAACAAGACCGAGAAACCAGAAAUAGAAGAAAAAAGUAACACAUUUGUAGAUCUUGAAGUGGAAAGGCGAAUUGCUUCAACUCGGGCAAUUGGUGAUGCGGAGGAACAACAUCUGCUGAUUGGAUUGCGUUUGCUUCGCUCUAAUUGUAGUGACGAGCAGCUACAAACCCCAGUUCUGCAAUUUUUCAAAGAAAAUAUGCCGAACUUGGCAGUAAAGACGAACGAUGGACAAUUUGAAGUCGGGUGGAAAGAAGAAGAUGAAAGAAAUAUGCAUGCAUCUUUUCUACAGCAGAUGUUCAUGGCACACCCACAUUGUGGUUCCGCAAGGCCAUCUAUUGGUGGUUUUGAUUUCUCGAGUAAAGAAGGGACUACAAACCUUCAAAUACCAGACUUUCUUAUGGGAGAACCAUCAAAUACCCAAAUGUUUGGUUUACAAGAUGCUUUCCAGACACCUGGGGCAAGUUCACAAAGAUAUUCAAUUGGCAUGACUCCUAAAACUCAAAGGGUACCAAAGCCCGGAGAGAUGCUUCACUCCGCGCGUGGCUCACCACUUGGGGUAUACAAGGAAGACAACAUGGAAGCAAUACAUGAGUCAGGUGAGGAUUAACUGGCCCAAAAUCUGGUUCGCUGCAAAACAUGUCUUGGCAAAACUCACUUAACUUAUCAGCUCGUCUCACUUCUAAAUCAUCAAGAAUAUUAGUAAGCACAGCAUUCUCAGCUGAGACCAACCUCGAACUAAGUGCUAGUCCAAGGUCCACACAGCUAGCAUCAUCUGAUUGUAAUUCUGCAAAGCGGGAGACUAUAUGAUCCGAGAUGGCCUCACGAGCCAACACUUUAAUCUCCAAAUGCGUAAAUUUAUAAGUUGAGGCGGAGCUACGUAGUUUGGCAGUACGGUCGAAGACAAAAAGUAUUACCGUCGGGUCCGUCCCCAUCAGAAGCAUAAAGAUGUCGCGACUUAUCUCUCCCACACAUGCUUGGCUUCCAGAGCUAGAUCAAUCUUUCCUGAAGGUCCUGACAUACUAGUACAAUGCCUCCCAAAGCUCUUCAUUCCACACUUUCAAUAGAGCUUCAACUGCUUCGAUUUCUGCAUAAAGACAGGCAUCAGGCACCCCUACUAUGGCCACACCGCUGUGAUAACAGACCUGCAAAGCGGAGCUGAUAGAAGCAAAAGAUGGCUUAAAGAAGACAAAACACCAAGGCGCAGCAAAUU